rnacentral:rRNA from 1 species
GAUGAACGCUAGCGGCAGGCCUAACACAUGCGAGUCGAGGGAGAGGUUACCUUCGGGUAACCAAAACCGGCGCACGGGUGCGUAACGCGUAUACAAUCUGCCUUUCACAUAGGGAUAGCCCGAAGAAAUUUGGAUUAAUACCUAAUGGUAUAUAAGAGCGGCAUCGUUUUUAUAUUAAAGCUACGGUGGUGAAAGAUGAGUAUGCGUUCUAUUAGCUAGUUGGAGAGGUAACGGCUCCCCAAGGCGACGAUAGAUAGGGGUUCUGAGAGGGAUGUCCCCCACACUGGUACUGAGAUACGGACCAGACUCCUACGGGAGGCAGCAGUGAGGAAUAUUGGACAAUGGUCGGAAGACUGAUCCAGCCAUGCCGCGUGCAGGAUGAAGGUCCUAUGGAUUGUAAACUGCUUUUGGAAGGGAAGAAUAAGGAGUACGUGUACUUUGAUGACGGUACCUUACGAAUAAGCAUCGGCUAACUCCGUG